rnacentral:rRNA from 1 species
CGCCGCGGUAAUACGUAGGGUCCAAGCGCUGUCCGGAAUUAUUGGGCGUAAAGGGCUCGUAGGCGGCCUGUCGCGUCUGGUGUGAAAGCACGGGGCCCAGCCCCGUGUCUGCGCUGGAUACGGGCGGGCUGGAGUGCCGCAGGGGGGAAUGGAAUUCCCGGUGUAACGGUGGAAUGUGUAGAUAUCGGGAAGAACACCGAUGGCGAAGGCAGUUCCCUGGGCGGUCACUGACGCUGAGGAGCGAAAGCGUGGGGAGCGAACAGGAUUAGAUACCCUGGUAGUCCACGCCGUAAACGGUGGACGCUGGAUGUGGGGCCCAUUCCACGGGUUCCGCGUCGGAGCCAACGCGUUAAGCGUCCCGCCUGGGGAGUACGGCCGCAAGGCUAAAACUCAAAGAAAUUGACGGGGGCCCGCACAAGCGGCGGAGCAUGCGGUUUAAUUCGAUGCAACGCGAAGAACCUUACCUGGGCUUGACAUGUGGACGGCGGCCGCGGAGACGCGGCUUCCCUUCGGGGCGUCCUCACAGGAGGUGCAUGGCC